UACGUAGGGUGCGAGCGUUGUCCGGAAUUAUUGGGCGUAAAGAGCUCGUAGGCGGUGUGUCGCGUCGGAGUGAUGGAAGCCCGGGGCUUAACCCCGGGUCUGCAUUCGAUACGGGCAGACUGGAGUGUGGUAGGGGAGAUCGGAAUUCCUGGUGUAGCGGUGAAAUGCGUAGAGAUCAGGAGGAACACCCGUGGCGAAGGCGGCCUCUGGGUCCGCCCUGACGCUGAGGCGCGAAAGCGUGGGGAGCGAACGGG
rnacentral:rRNA from 1 species